GCUAACGCGCGGAGGCAGGUUCCCGCCUGCGGGCUCCGUCGCGGUGGCUGCGGCAUGGGACUCGGGGCGGGGCGGCAGUACGGGACGCGGGGCACGGGGGAGGGUCAGUGCGGAACGGGGGUGGGCAGCAUGGCGCGCGCACGCGGGAGACGGAAGCGCGGCGGCUCUUCGGCCGUUGUCAAGCGAUGAGGCGCGUCUCCCCAUUGCACAGAGGGGGCAACUGAGGCGAACGCAGGCCUCAAGGUCGCGCCGCCAGUCAAGGUCGACUGGGGUCCCGCGCCCGGACCCUACGCCUCCGCGAGCGGAAAUGGGGAUGGCGCGUCCCCGAGACCUAGGAGCAGCCUUGCGUCCGCAUUCCGCGCGGGCAAACACCACGUCGCGUCCUACCAGGCAAUGUCAGGAAGGAGGUUGCCUUUGAGCAUCGCUGUUUUCUCUAACGAGGCCAGGCGCGGUGGCUCAUACCUGGCGCUUUAGGAGGCGCGGAGGCCAAGGCCGGGGAGGAUCGCUUCAUCUUAGGAGUUCGACACCGGCCACCAGCCUGGGCAUCUUAGAGAGACGCCGUCUCUACAAAAAAAUAAAUAAAAAUAAAAAUUAGCUGGGCGUCGAGGCGCUCGCUACUCAGGAGGCUGGGCGGGGAGGAUUGCUUGAGCCCGGAGGUCGAGGCUGUAGUGGGCGGUGAUCGCAUCACUGCAUUCCAGCCGGGACGACAGAGUGUGACCCUCUCUCAAAAAAUAGGCCGGGUGCGGUGGAUCACGCCUGUAAUUCCAGCACUUUGGGAGGCCGAGGCGGGAGGAUCACCUGAGGUCAGGAGUUCAAGACCAGCCUGGACAACAUGGUGAAACCCCAUCUCUACGAAAAAUACAAAAUUAGCUGGGCAUGGUGGUGCGCACCUGUAGUCCCAGCUACCCCCUCGGGAGGCUGAGGCAGGAGAAUCGCUGGAACCCAGGAGGUGGAGGUUGCAGCGAGCAGAGAUGGCGCCACUGCACUCCAGCCUGAGAGACAGAGACUCCGUCUCAAAUAAAUAAACAAAAAUAUAAAAUAAAAUGCACUUAUGUGACUGGUGUUUUGUUAAGAAAACCUUACAAGGGAAUUCAUAUAUCCUGGGCUGUCACUUAAGUUGCAAUAUUAAGGAUAUUAUUUAAUGUUUCUUUUUGUUUUUUUGAGACAAGGUCUCACUCUCACCUAGGCUGGAAGUGCAGUGGUGUGUUAUCGGCUCACUGCAACCUCCCCUUCCCGUGCUCGAGCAAGCGUCCCACCUUAGCCUCCCAAGUAGCUGGGACUACAGGCAUGCACCCAC
rnacentral:lncRNA from 10 species